rnacentral:misc_RNA from 1 species
UCCGCGCCGUGCUUGCGUGUGUCUGUGUGGGUGUGUGGAUGCGCAACGGGUACGCCGCAUGGCAUGCACACGCAGAAAGGAAACUGACGUAUCGCUCAACUACAAAAAGUAGGUGCACCUCCGUGCCUUCAAGCACCAGCACAGCUUUAUAAGCAGCAAACUCUUGCUUUUCUCUCUUCUAGCUGCCUGUGUUUGCCUACUUAUCUCCCGGCGCCUCGCUGCCUCGACCGCGCACCGUCCGCCUCUCUCAUGACCCUCACGACAUCGUCGGAUGUCGGCGCACCGCUCAUCAGCCUCGCCGUUUACUGCCCGCUCCUCUGCGCUGAUAAAGAGGAGCAUGGGGCGGACAACAUCCUCUUCUACUUCCCAUCUGACACGCACCUCAACUUGCAGAUGAACCAAGUAGGCUUCUGCAUCGCCAUCAGCUCCCUCGCACCUCGAUUUGGGGUACACUGCAGCCGGCGCCAGACGAUUCGAAAGCAGCGCAGCAGCGUCUGCCUCAUGAGCCCAGCGGAAAAUCUGUGGGUGAGUGCGCACGUGCGUGGCGGCAACGAGGCUGCGCUCACCACUCACCACCUACUACAGCUCAGCUGUACCUUGUUUGAGCUGCUUUACAGCGCAGACACGAUGUUGCAGCUCACGUUACCCAAUAUGGAAAAAGGCAGAAAAGAAGGCCCACACACUGGCACCGGUAGCUCAAAUCCCUCGACGCCGACGACAGACAAGGCCGGCUCCUCCGACACGGCGGCACGUUCGGCGCUGCGGUCUUUCUUUGCCAGAUGCGCCACCUUCAUCUCCAGCGUUUUGGCAGCGCAAUGCAUGGCGCGUGAUGGCGAGACGGGGCGAAUGGGUCGGUCAGGCGCUGCCAUGUCAGCACAGGACUGGGCCCACCACCUCUCCGCCGAAGCAUCAUUUGGGCUCCCGCUACGCUUCGUAAGCGACCGCGAGCUCCCCUCCUUGCAACUGGGACGCGUCGAAGAGGUGGUGCGACACAUUUUGUGGCAGCCUGUUUGCGGAUGUACAGCCGGGCCUGAUGGCGACGCACCGUCGUCGCUGGGCCGUGACAGUGUACACUGCUGUGUCUUUAAUCUGCCAUCGCUGCACGUAGUCAUGGCGGACAGUCGGCUGCCUCGUGUCGUGGUGCAGUCCCUCAAGUACUACCUAGUCCUCUACGCACCGAUCGCAUGUACUUCGUUUCAGUGCCAUGUGCCGCCGGGCGGGCUGUGCGAGGCGGCUGUCUGGUUAGAUGGGAAUGUAGUCGCCGUACUGGUCGAUAUGCAUGAAGACGAAACUGCUAGCGUGUGCGGGCGUGCGGUGUCCCCGUCUCUGAUGGAGCACGCCAGAGUCAUCAGCAGCGAGGUACGCCAGUUACUUAGCAAACCAGCGGCUGGUGCUACUUCAGUGGAGGCGAAAGACGCCUAUUGGCUCUCCAUGCGCGACGUGCCAGCGCAUCAGCUGUACUACAAGUUGACUUUGAAACCGCCAAUCGCGGCAUCAAGCGGGCUUGUCGCACACUGGCGUCUGAGGGGUACCGUAGUAGAGGGAACGCCUUUCCGCCAGGUGGUGCCCGGCCUCGUCGAGUACGUGCGCGCGCUAGUGUACUCGACGAAGCUGUGUCUGCCCUCCUCCACUUCGACCAGCGUGCUGGAGUACUGGACGCGCUGGAACUCUUUCUGGGUUUACCUGCGCUUUGCCGGUGCCACAGUGACCGCCAUCGCCUGGCAGCACCAACAGCACGCGAUGAGUAUCCGCCAGCUUGCCUACGAGGUGCAGCGUCUUCUCCUCGUGGCGCCGUAGUCGAUGACCGUUACCUUUUUUUUUAAUCCCUUCCCCUGACACAACGACGUGCAAGCGCUUUCUCCCAAUGCGCACGCGAGGGUGGAAAUAUAUGUGAUGCAUCAUAUCAUCUCCCCUGGUACGCUGCCACCUUGCUUUCUGUUUCUUUUCUUGGCGUUUUCAUCCUUGGCUGUGUAGGCACUCCGCCCUCUCCCCCCUCCGUCAAGCCUGCUCCUGCUUUCCUCUGUGUGUGUGUGUGUGUGGUUAUGGAGCGUAAGCAAAGAGAAGAGAGAGAGAGGCGGUGCGCGCAGUCGCCAACGUCGAUGAUGCACAGACACACACGCGCACGCGCCGGAUUCCUUUCUUUUCCUUUGAUGGCAACAGAUGUGAGCGAGCGCCUGACUUCUCAAAACGCGCCAAGAGCGAAACG